rnacentral:rRNA from 1 species
ACUCAAAUGAAUUGACGGGGACCCACACAAGCGGUGGAACAUGGGGUUUAAUUCGAUAGUAAACGAAGCACCUCACCCAGGCUUGACAUCUCGGGAAUCCGGUCGAAAGGUCGGAGUGCCGCAAGGAACCCGAAGACAGGCGCUGCACGGUUGUCGUCAGCUCGUGCCUUGAGGUGUACUGUUAAGUCAGCGAACGAGCGCAACCCUCAUCCUAUGUUGCUUUUUCAUAGGAGACUGCCGCCUCCAAGGCGGAGGAAGGUGAGGAUGACGUCAAAUCAGCGUGGCCUUUAUGCCUGGGGCAACACCCAUGUUACAAUGGCCGAUACAAUGGGCAGCGAAACCGCGAGGUCGAGCGAAUCCCACCAAAGUCGGUCUCAGUUCGGAUUGCAGGCUGCAACUCGCCUGCAUGAAGUUGGAAUCGCUAGUAACCGUAAAUCAGCGAUGUUACGGUGAAUAAGUUCCUGGGUCUUGUACACACCGCCCGU